GAUGAACGCUGGCGGCGUGCCUAAUACAUGCAAGUCGAGCGAACGGACGAGAAGCUUGCUUUUCUGAUGUUAGCGGCGGACGGGUGAGUAACACGUGGAUAACCUACCUAUAAGGCUGGGAUAACUUCGGGAAACCGGAGCUAAUACCGGAUAAUAUUUUGAACCGCAUGGUUCAAAAGUGAAAGACGGUCUUGCUGUCACUUAUAGAUGGAUCCGCGCUGCAUUAGCUAGUUGGUAAGGUAACGGCUUACCAAGGCAACGAUGCAUAGCCGACCUGAGAGGGUGAUCGGCCACACUGGAACUGAGACACGGUCCAGACUCCUACGGGAGGCAGCAGUAGGGAAUCUUCCGCAAUGGGCGAAAGCCUGACGGAGCAACGCCGCGUGAGUGAUGAAGGUCUUCGGAUCGUAAAACUCUGUUAUUAGGGAAGAACAUAUGUGUAAGUAACUGUGCACAUCUUGACGGUACCUAAUCAGAAAGCCACGGCUAACUACGUGCCAGCAGCCGCGGUAAUACGUAGGUGGCAAGCGUUAUCCGGAAUUAUUGGGCGUAAAGCGCGCGUAGGCGGUUUUUUAAGUCUGAUGUGAAAGCCCACGGCUCAACCGUGGAGGGUCAUUGGAAACUGGAAAACUUGAGUGCAGAAGAGGAAAGUGGAAUUCCAUGUGUAGCGGUGAAAUGCGCAGAGAUGUGGAGGAACACCAGUGGCGAAGGCGACUUUCUGGUCUGUAACUGACGCUGAUGUGCGAAAGCGUGGGGAUCAAACAGGAUUAGAUACCCUGGUAGUCCACGCCGUAAACGAUGAGUGCUAAGUGUUAGGGGGUUUCCGCCCCUUAGUGCUGCAGCUAACGCAUUAAGCACUCCGCCUGGGGAGUACGACCGCAAGGUUGAAACUCAAAGGAAUUGACGGGGGCCCGCACAAGCGGUGGAGCAUGUGGUUUAAUUCGAAGCAACGCGAAGAACCUUACCAAAUCUUGACAUCCUUUGACAACUCUAGAGAUAGAGCCUUCCCCUUCGGGGGACAAAGUGACAGGUGGUGCAUGGUUGUCGUCAGCUCGUGUCGUGAGAUGUUGGGUUAAGUCCCGCAACGAGCGCAACCCUUAAGCUUAGUUGCCAUCAUUAAGUUGGGCACUCUAAGUUGACUGCCGGUGACAAACCGGAGGAAGGUGGGGAUGACGUCAAAUCAUCAUGCCCCUUAUGAUUUGGGCUACACACGUGCUACAAUGGACAAUACAAAGGGCAGCGAAACCGCGAGGUCAAGCAAAUCCCAUAAAGUUGUUCUCAGUUCGGAUUGUAGUCUGCAACUCGACUACAUGAAGCUGGAAUCGCUAGUAAUCGUAGAUCAGCAUGCUACGGUGAAUACGUUCCCGGGUCU
rnacentral:rRNA from 1 species